UGUGUGCCGUUUCCGAAGUUGGCUACUCCCUCAACUUAAGCAUAUCAAUAGGGGACGGAGAAGAUACAAACAUGGAUUCCCCUAGUAGUGGCGAAUGANGCGGGAGCUGUCCGGAUGGCAAGCCAUUGGCGUUGUAGACAGAUGUAACGAAGUGGCAUGGAAGUGCACACGANACAGGGUGAGAGUCCCGUCGAUAUAUGCAUUACGAGAGUAACGCUGCUUGGUACUGCAGCGCGAAGGGGUGGUUGGACCAUCCAANACNANAUAUANGCGAACACCGAUAGUGNACAAGUACUGCGAAGNAAANACNACAGCUCAUGAGGGCUGAUGAUUGAANUCAGGAG
rnacentral:rRNA from 1 species